CAGCCGCCGCGGUAAAACGAAGGGUGCAAGCGCUACUCGGAAUUACUGGGCGUAAAGCGUGCGUAGGUGGUUGUUUAAGUCUGUUGUGAAAGCCCUGGGCUCAACCUGGGAAUUGCAGUGGAUACUGGGCGACUAGAGUGUGGUAGAGGGUAGUGGAAUUCCCGGUGUAGCAGUGAAAUGCGUAGGGAUCGGGAGGAACAUCCAUGGCGAAGGCAGCUACCUGGACCAACACUGACACUGAGGCACGAAAGCGUGGGGAGCAAACAGGAUUAGAUACCCCCGUAGUCCCUGUCUCUUAUAC
rnacentral:rRNA from 1 species